UCUAAACACUGGGGGGCAAGGGGGAGUCUCUCCGCGCUGCCCGCGUUUUUGGAAUCUCCGUUACCUGGACAACGGCCGCCGUCUGCAUAGCUUCUCGCUCGUGAUUGGUCACAUUUUUAAAGAGCCGGCGGAUGGAGAGAUUGGAUGUUGCAGCUGUUGGAAUCAAUUGAUCAGUCAGGUUUAUGAAGAGCUGCAAGGUGUAUUGGAGGUGUGGGCAGCCUGGCCCUAGAGAAACGCUGUCUUAUGCUUUGAUGAAUCUUGGUAUAUGCAGCUCUAUGUAGGUAUUGGAACUUUUGAUACAGCCCAGAAAUGUUGCCGCGAUUUCAAAGUCUUCUGCUGUAUGCAUUCUCUUUAUCAGCACUGGGUAUUUUCAUAUUCUUACAAAGAGAUCCUAAGAUCCCUGAGAAUCCUGUUACUCUUAAAAAGUUAGAACCACCAAAGAAAGCGCUAUUCGUCUGGGCUCCUUCAUCAAAAACAGUCACCCCAUGUUCUCCAAAUGCUUCAGCUGUCAAUGCAUCUGUAUCUCUUCCAGAGGCUCACCGUUUAUUUUUAAUGUACAAACACUGCAGGAACUUCUCAACACUGCUGUAUCCUAGCAAAUGUGAGGAAGAAACUUUUUUGAUAUUGGCCAUAAAGUCUCUGCCCAUCAACAUAGAUCGUCGUAUUGCAAUUAGGAAUACAUGGGGGAAACACCAAGAGUUCCAGAACAGAAAGAUCAAGCUACUGUUCUUACUUGGUAAAACAGAAGCCACCUCUCCAGCUAAAUCGCUCCACCAGCUCCUGUCUUAUGAAAAUGGGCAAUAUAGAGACCUAAUCCAGUGGGAUUUUGUGGAUAAUUUUUUCAACCUUACACUCAAGGAAAUCCAUUUUCUAAGAUGGUUCUCCAAAGAUUGUUCACAUGCAAAGUUUGUGUUAAAGGGAGAUGAUGAUGUCUUCAUAAACACAUACAAUAUUGUUGAGUUUCUUGAUGGUUUGAAUCCAGAAGAUGACUUCUUAGUUGGAGAUGUAAUCAGAAAUGCCAAUCCGAUCAGAAACACUAAUGUGAAAUACUUCAUCCCUCAUAGCAUGUACAGUGCAAAUAAUUACCCUCUGUAUGCUGGGGGUGGUGGAUACGUUAUGUCAAGAAGAACUACUCAGCGUCUUCUUACCACUGCAGAAGCCACAGAACUCUUUCCUAUUGAUGAUGUAUUUGUUGGGAUGUGUCUCAAAAAGUUGAAUGUAACACCAGAAUUCCAUGCAGGUUUUAAAACCUUUGGUAUCCAAAGUCCAGUCAACCCCUUUGAUCCUUGUUUAUAUAAAGGCCUUAUGAUCGUGCACAAAUUAAACCCUACUGAGAUGUGGAUAAUGUGGUCUUUAGUAAAGGAUAAAUCAAUGCGAUGUGCACACUCAAAGAACACCUUGUAACAUAAAUAAAUAACUGUUUCAUUCUGUCAAUUCAGCACCGGAGACUAACAUUUUUCUUUUAGCAAUGGCAUCGGAUUCUUAUGAGUACUGUAUUCUAGAAUAAUUACACAGUAACUAAAAAAAAAAACUCUCCUGUAAAUUGUGUAACCCGUUUUGUCUGUGGGAUAGUUUUUUGUUUCCUGGUGUACUGAAGCCUGUUAAUUUGUUUCAACCAUGAAUCUUGGUAUUCUAGAUCAACCCACAUCUGAAGCACAAAUGGAACUGUCCAGUAUUGGGACUGUGCGAGCUGCAUGUGUUCAUUUGAUACUAAUACUUCAAUUACUAGAAGACUGACACACUAGAAGCUAUACCAGACAAUGCAACUGAUGCUACUCUAAAACUAGAAAUAACUGCCCUAUCAAACAUCUUGAAAGAUUCAGUUUUGAGUUGUCUGGAUUCUCCUGGUGGACUGUGACAGCCUAUAACUGUGUAGUGUACAUUGGUGCCGAAAGGUCCAUUUCUAAGCCAUAAAUAUAAUUCUCUCCUACAACAUGCUUAAUAAAUAAAUAUGAAUAUAUUUAUAAGUGUAGCUGCAAUUUGUGAC